AGUGGAUGGGGAGCAACCUAGUUGUGCGUGUGUAAAGGUAGUGCCAAGAAAAGCGAUGAUCAUGUUGAAAAUCAAUUCCCGGUACCCGAAACCGACACAGGUGGGCAAGUAGAGAAUACUAAGGGGCGCGAGGUAACUCUCUCCAAGGAACUCGGCAAAAUGACCCCGUAACUUAGGGAGAAGGGGUGCCACCGAGAGGUGGUCGCAGUGAAGAGGCCCAGGCGACUGUUUAGCAAAAACAUAGGUCUCUGCAAACUCGAAAGAGGAGGUAUAGGGGCUGACGCCUGCCCAGUGCCGGAAGGUUAAAGAAGUUGGUCAGUCUUAGGAUGAAGCUAGCGACUGAAGCCCCGGUGAACGGCGGCCGUAACUAUAACGGUCCUAAGGUAGCGAAAUUCCUUGUCGGGUAAGUUCCGACCCCACGAAAGGCGUAACGAUCUGGGCGCUGUCUCGGAGAGAGGCUCGGCGAAAUAGGAUUGUCUGUGAAGAUACGGACUACCUGCAUUUGGACAGAAAGACCCUAUGAAGCUUUACUAUAGCUUGGAAUUGUGUUCGGGCUUCCUGUGCGCAGGAUAGGUGGGAGGCGUAGAAGGUAUUCUUGUGGGGAUACUGGAGCCAACGGUGAGAUACCACUCUCAGGAGGCUAGAAUUCUAACUUAAUUAAGGACAGUUUCAGGUGGGUAGUUUGACUGGGGCGGUCGCCUCCAAAAAGGUAACGGAGGCGUACAAAGGUUCCCUCAGACUGGUUGGAAAUCAGUCGAAGAGUGCAAAGGCAGAAGGGAGCUUGACUGCGAGAAGUACAGUUCGAGCAGGGUGGAAACACGGUCUUAGUGAUCCGACGGUGCUGUGUGGAAGGGCCGUCGCUCAACGGAUAAAAGUUACUCUAGGAUAACAGGCUGAUCUCCCCCAAGAGUUCACAUCGACGGGGAGGUUUGGCACCUCGAUGUCGGCUCAUCGCAACCUGGGGCGGAAGUACGUCCCAAGGGUUGGGCUGUUCGCCCAUUAAAGCGGUACGUGAGCUGGGUUCAGAACGUCGUGAGACAGUUCGGUCCAUAUCCGAUGUAGGCGUGAGAAUAUUGAGAGGAGCCUUCCUUAGUACGAGAGGACCGGGAAGGACGCACCGCUGGUGUACCUGUUAUGAUGCCAAUUGUAAACGCAGGGUAGCCAAGUGCGGAGAGGAUAACCGCUGAAAGCAUCUAAGUGGGAAGCCCACCUCAAGAUGAGUAUUCUGGUGUAAGGUCACGGGAAGACGACCCGUAAAUAGGCACGAGGUGGAAGUGCAGAGAUGUAUGAAGCCGAAGUGUACUAAUAGACCGUCGGCUUGAC
rnacentral:rRNA from 1 species